UGUUCCUAUCAGUGGCGGAACUGUGGGAGGCAGUGGAGUCGGCUGCCGCCGGGCUCCUGACCUCAAGGGGGCACCUGUCCUCCAUUGCCUCCCACUGCCCGACAAUCAAUCGCCGCUCUGCCAAAUGUGGAUGGAGGAUCGGUGUCAGUGUCGUGACACGGCUGCAGCAGCUGCCUCCUCGUAUCCACAGAGACGAGCUGGCAGCUGGCUGCAGCUAGGGGGAGCUCCAGCGCACAGCUGAUCACAGGCACUUCCAGAAGAGCUGGCCGUCUAUAGCUCUCUCUUCCUCCAUCCUGCUGCUAGCCGAAGUGAGUUGGCGGAACCUAUACUUAAGAGUGGAGAUCCAGACCACAAGCACUCAGCUCUGUCACUGAGAAGGCAGUCAGCAGUGCUGGAAACAUCUCCUGGGGCAUCCAUCAUGCCACCAGAGUGAGGUA